rnacentral:lncRNA from 1 species
UGGAAAAAAUGGGAUGAAGGAUGUCCUAAUAAUAAUGAUAGUGCAGUGGUUGGUCUUUCUCUUUCUUGCUUAUUACAUUGAUCAGAUUGCAUCAUCAGGGAAAGAUCCCCUAUUUUUCUUGUGGAACUCCCGAAAGAAGUCUUUACCUUCCUUCAGGACACAUAGUUUACGAAGGCAGGGUUCUAAAGUUUUCGUACAAAUGGAGAAACACUUCACCUUCCUUCAGGAAACAUAGUUUACGAAGGCAGGGUUCUAAAGUUUUCGUACAAAUGGAGAAACCUGAUGUUGCUCAGGAGGUAAACAUUUAAUUAUCCGGUGAAAAACAUUAUGUUUGUUCCUAUCUACAAAACUA